rnacentral:tRNA from 1 species
GGUACUAUAGCUCAGUUGGUAGAGCAACGGAUUGAAAAUCCGUGUGUCCCAGGUUCGAAUCCCGGUAGUACCACCU